GCAAUAUUUUGUAUUACCUGAGACCGAAGCCACACCAAAUAAGGGAUUUGGCAGAUCUGACUUGUAAUAACUUUGCUAUAUAAUCGAUUCCUUCGUAACAUUAAAACUAUAUAAGAUUGGGUUUUUUUUUUUUGUGUGGAAAUUGUCUAGGUUAUUAAAUACUGCAAAAUAAUUGUUUAGUGUUGGUGGCGAUGUGGCUCCACCAUUUGAGAUCUUUUAUAGUGUAGUCUUCCCCAUGUGACCAAACGAUACGAGUAUAGUGUUUAUACAAAUCAAAUGAUUCAUAAUUUGAAAGGCAUCUCACUA
rnacentral:lncRNA from 1 species